rnacentral:lncRNA from 1 species
GGACUUGUGGAAUGGAUUCAAGUUGUAUGAUGGUGCUCUACUGUUUGGUAACACAUUUUCUCUUGUUUCAGGCCCCUCCAGUUGUCUCUACAACUUCAAAACGCAACAAAAGGUAGGCGAUUGCUUUUGGCUCCUGGGCUCGAUGGAGUCCAGAUUUUGAAAAGGAAUAAAAAUCUAAAUUAAACAAUUAUGAAAAUAAAUACACACAUACAUAUGGUUGUGCGCCACUUGCUUGUAUAUUUUCUUUUUUUUUGAACAAUUUGCUUGUAUAUUUUCAUGAUGAAAUGCAUUUUUGUGCGAGCUAUAGACAAAAAAACAUGUAUUCCUAACAUAUGUAUUAUUUCACUACAAAAGUAGAUAAAUCUUUUCUUGUGUGGCACACAUCAGAACAUAUUUCAUCAUGGAAAUCUGACACACAUUUUGUAUACAUAUCUAAGCAAGUGUGUAUUUUUUCAGAUUUUUUUGAACUUCGGAAUGUGAUUUUUCAAGUUUUUUAAAUUUCAGGUUCCAUGCUGGGAGCCAAAAAUCCACACUCAACAAAGGUGAUAAAGUAAGAGGAAAUUACAAUGGAGGUCCAUCAAGGAGUUAUUGAUUAGUCUAAUCGUUUUGAAAAUUCCUUUGGCCAUCUUAGGGGAAAGAUUCAUAAUAUAAAGUCCAGGCUUAAGAUCACAAGAAUACUCUUUUACAUAAAAGAACCAAGCAUAGAAGUCCAAGCAUAUCUCUGCAUCCUGAUGAUGGUGAUAAUGCUGGAGAUCGAGAUGACAAAGAGGAGGUAGAGAUCGAUGAAGAUGAUGACGUAGUAGAAUAUAUACAUGUACUUGAUCUUCUCUCCCCAUGGCCAAAUGCAUCACUUUGAAGCAUGUCAAUAUCACAUACACAAUCUGCAUAUCGAACUAAUAUCAUCCACCAAUGAGGCUGGCUCAUGAUUUAGAUUUCACUUUUGUGUCGAUUUAAAAAAUCAAACAAAGGGACGGUUGACUCAAUGGGAUGUUUGAGAUGCGAUGAUGGUCAACAUAUUAUGGUAUGCAUGUACGAUACAUUCAUUUAAUUAGUAAUCUAAGACUCUGAUUUCUAUGGAAUAUAGAAUAAUUAU